UCCCACAUGGUCCAGCGGUCAGGAUCACCCGCUUUCACCGGGUAGGCCCGAGUUCGACUCUCGGUGUGGGAG
rfam:Penicillium oxalicum 114-2 unplaced genomic scaffold scaffold_1, whole genome shotgun sequence.